rnacentral:rRNA from 1 species
CCUACGGGUGGCAGCAGUGAGGAAUAUUGGUCAAUGGGCGCGAGCCUGAACCAGCCAAGUAGCGUGAAGGAUGACGGCCCUACGGGUUGUAAACUUCUUUUAUAAAGGAAUAAAGUGAGGCACGUGUGCCUUUUUGUAUGUACUUUAUGAAUAAGGAUCGGCUAACUCCGUGCCAGCAGCCGCGGUAAUACGGAGGAUCCGAGCGUUAUGCGGAUUUAUUGGGGUUAAAGGGAGCGUCGAGGGGUUGGUAAGUCAGUUGGGAAAGUUUGCGGCUCAACCGUCAAAUUGCAAUUGCUACUGGCAGCCUUGAGUACAGUUGAGGUAGGCGGCAUUCGUGGUGUAGCGG